GAUGAACGCUGGCGGCGUGCCUAAUACAUGCAAGUCGAGCGAACAGAUGAGGAGCUUGCUCCUCUGACGUUAGCGGCGGACGGGUGAGUAACACGUGGAUAACCUACCUAUAAGACUGGGAUAACUUCGGGAAACCGGAGCUAAUACCGGAUAAUAUAUUGAACCGCAUGGUUCAAUAGUGAAAGACGGUUUUGCUGUCACUUAUAGAUGGAUCCGCGCCGCAUUAGCUAGUUGGUAAGGUAACGGCUUACCAAGGCAACGAUGCGUAGCCGACCUGAGAGGGUGAUCGGCCACACUGGAACUGAGACACGGUCCAGACUCCUACGGGAGGCAGCAGUAGGGAAUCUUCCGCAAUGGGCGAAAGCAUGACGGAGCAACGCCGCGUGAGUGAUGAAGGUCUUCGGAGCGUAAAACUCUGUUAUUAGGGAAGAACAAAUGUGUAAGUAACUAUGCACGUCUUGACGGUACCUAAUCAGAAAGCCACGGCUAACUACGUG
rnacentral:rRNA from 1 species